AACUGUGUAUUAUAAACAGUUAUGGCUCAAAAUCUCACAGGUUUAUUCAACGUCUAAAAGUCAAGGUCAAAAUCACUCUAGAAUUAUGCAAAUUAGUUCCAAUUAUACUUAAAUCAUCAAAGAAAAUCAAAUUCAAUAUUUUUUUCACAGAAAUCAUCAUUGGCAUCUCACCAAAAAAUCUAAUGGAGCAAUAAUCAUCUAAAAAACAAUCACAAACACACACCACCAACCAAGCAAGAUGAAACAAUAAAGCCAACAAAAAUAAUAAAAGUGAUACACAUAUCUACUCUCACCCCCCUCCCCCAAACUUAUUACAGAACAUAAGUUCGAAAAUAAGUUUGGAGGGAUGAUGAUAUGUGUGUCACUACUCACAGAAACACAUGCUCCAUGGUGGUGGUAUGAACAAGGCGCGAGUUCCCGCAUCUUCCAAGCUCAACACUGCACUAAACCC
rnacentral:lncRNA from 1 species